CAUUUUCUUUUCCUCUUUCUCUUUCUUCUUCUUCUGUUUUCUUCUUUUCUUUUCUUUUCUUCUUCUCGUCCUUCGCCUGUUGGUGAAUUAGGAAUCUGAAUUAGAGAUUCUGUGAUCAAGAGAAGCAGGGAACAAUCGAGUGUUAGUUGAUGGUGGUGGUUGAUUAUUAUGGUGAACUCAAAUCAGCAGACAAGAGUGCGCGUAAAAUAAGGUAUUGGUAAGGUACAUAUCGUUUAUGACUUGAGGACGGAAACCUCAUGGGCGCUUUAAUGAUCAUUGAAGAAUCUGCAACAGUCAUGCCUUGCUACUCCGAAGGAAGACGUCGCUCAACUACUAUUUAUGUUGUGAAUGUGUGCCGGUUUAUUGGUUGGUAGAACUUUAUAAUUUCAGUAUUACUAUUAUUUUAAUAUGCUUUAUAUGUUUUCCGUAUUUUAUCGGUUUUCAGUAAAACCUGCAUUGUAUUUAAAUCAUUCUAUUGAUUACUUGAAAGUUAGUUGUUAUUUUUACGGAGUACCCCUUUUAGGGAUGAUGUGCUCACCCAUUCCAAGUUUCAGAGACAGAUCAAGUUGUGCACGUGGCGAUGAAAGCUUUGAGGAGUUGGCUUCGUUAGUUGGUUAGCUUCCGCUAUGUUUAUUUGGUGUUUAUAUUCUAUUUGUAAAUCAACUCACUAUUAAAUAUGUAACACUUGAGACGAGUUCUUGUAUUUAUUUCAGAGAGGGUUUAGAUUUGGGUUAA